rnacentral:rRNA from 1 species
GGGAUUGUGCCAGCAGCCGCGGUAAUACGUAGGGUGCGAGCGUUGUCCGGAAUUACUGGGCGUAAAGAGCUCGUAGGUGGUUUGUCGCGUUGUUCGUGAAAUCUCACGGCUUAACUGUGAGCGUGCGGGCGAUACGGGCAGACUAGAGUACUGCAGGGGAGACUGGAAUUCCUGGUGUAGCGGUGGAAUGCGCAGAUAUCAGGAGGAACACCGGUGACGAAGGCGGGUCUCUGGGCAGUAACUGACGCUGAGGAGCGAAAGCKCGGGGAGCGAACAGGAUUAGAUACCCUGGUAGUCCACGCCGUAAACGGUGGGUACUAGGUGUGGGUUUCCUUCCUUGGGAUCCGUGCCGUAGCUAACGCAUUAAGUACCCCGCCUGGGGAGUACGGCCGCAAGCUAAAAACUCAAAGGAAUUGACGGGGGCCCGCACAAGCGGCGGAGCAUGUGGAUUAAUUCGAUGCAACGCGAAGAACCUUACCUGGGUUUGACAUGCACAGGACGCGUCUAGAGAUAGGCGUUCCCUUGUGGCCUGUGUGCAGGUGGUGCAUGGCUGUCGUCAGCUCGUGUCGUGAGAUGUUGGGUUAAGUCCCGCAACGAGCGCAACCCUUGUCUCAUGUUGCCAGCGGUUAAUGCCGGGGACUCGUGAGAGACUGCCGGGGUCAACUCGGAGGAAGGUGGGGAUGACGUCAAGUCAUCAUGCCCCUUAUGUCCAGGGCUUCACACAUGCUACAAUGGCCGGUACAAAGGGCUGCGAUGCCGUAAGGUUAAGCGAAUCCUUUUAAAGCCGGUCUCAGUUCGGAUUGGGGUCUGCAACUCGACCCCAUGAAGUCGGAGUCGCUAGUAAUCGCAGAUCAGCAACGCUGCGGUGAAUACGUUCCCGGGCCUUGCACACACCGCCCGUC